rnacentral:rRNA from 1 species
AUUGAACGCUGGCGGCAGGCUUAACACAUGCAAGUCGAGCGGGGUGAUGGUGCUUGCACUAUCACUUAGCGGCGGACGGGUGAGUAAUGCUUAGGAAUCUGCCUAUUAGUGGGGGACAACAUCUCGAAAGGGAUGCUAAUACCGCAUACGUCCUACGGGAGAAAGCAGGGGAUCACUUGUGACCUUGCGCUAAUAGAUGAGCCUAAGUCGGAUUAGCUAGUUGGUGGGGUAAAGGCCUACCAAGGCGACGAUCUGUAGCGGGUCUGAGAGGAUGAUCCGCCACACUGGGACUGAGACACGGUCCAGAAUCCUACGGGAGGCAGCAGGGGGGAAUAUUGGACAAUGGGGGGAGCCCUAAUCCAGCCAUGCCGCGUGUGUGAAGAAGGCCUUAUGGUUGUAAAGCACUUUAAGCGAGGAGGAGGCUCUUUUGGUUAAUACCCAAGAUGAGUGGACGUUACUCGCAGAAUAAGCACCGGCUAACUCUGUGCCAGCAGCCGCCGUAA